rnacentral:rRNA from 1 species
GAUGAACGCUAGCGGCAGGCCUAAUACAUGCAAGCCGAACGGCAAGUCUUUUAGCAAUAGAAGACCUAGAGUGGCGUAAGGGUGCGUAACACGUAUGCAAUCUGCCCUCAACAGGAGGAUAGCUCCCCGAAAGGGGAUUAAGCCUCCAUAGGAUCGUAAUGUGGCAUCACAUAGCGAUUAAACUACCAGGGGUUGAGGAUGAGCAUGCGCAUGAUUAGUUAGUUGGCGGGGUAACGGCCCACCAAGACGAUGAUCAUUAGGGGAACUGAGAGGUUGAUCCCCCACACUGGCACUGAGAUACGGGCCAGACUCCUACGGGAGGCAGCAGUAGGGAAUAUUGGACAAUGGGUGCAAGCCUGAUCCAGCAAUGCCGCGUGCAGGAAGAA